AGAGUUUGAUUAUGGCUCAGAAGCCUGCAUGGCGCUGCUUUCACUGCAAGUCGUACGGCUGCGCGGGCUUCGGCCUGGCGGCGAGUGGCGAGCGGGUGAGUAAUACAUCGAGAACGUGCCCAGUAGUGGGGGAUAGCCCGGCGAAAGCCGGAUUAAUACCGCAUACUACCUGAGGGUGAAAGCGGGGGACCGAAAGGCCUCGCGCUAUUGGAGCGGCCGAUGUCGGAUUAGCUAGUUGGUGGGGUAAAGGCCUACCAAGGCGACGAUCCGUAGCUGGUCUGAGAGGACGACCAGCCACACUGGGACUGAAACUCGGACCAGACUCCUACGGGAGGCAGCACUGGGGAAUUUUGGACAAUGGGGGCAACCCUGAUCCAGCACAUGCCGCGUGGGGGAAGAAGGCCUUCCGGUUGUAAACCGCUUUUGUCAGGGAAGAAAUCCUCUGGGCUAAUAUCCCGGGGGGAUGACGGUACCUGAAGAAUAAGCACCGGCUAACUACGUGCCAACAGCCGCGGUAAUACGUAGGGUGCUACCGUUCAUCGGAAUUACUGGGCGUACAAGCGUGUGCAGGCGGUUGUGCAAGACAGAUGUGAAAUCCCCCGGCUUAACCUGGAAACUGCAUUUGUGACUGCACGGCUAGAGUGCGGCAAGAGGGCAGUGGAAUUCCGCGUGUGACAAUGAAAUGCCCAGAUAUGCGGAGGAACACCUAUGGUUAAUGCUGCUCCCUGGGACUGCACUGACACUCAUGCACAAAUACGUGUGGAGCAAACAGGAUUAGAUACUCUGGUAGUACACGCCCUAGACGAUGUCAACUGGUUGUUGGUCCUUCACUGCAUCACUAACGUACCUGACGCGUGAAGUUGACAGCCUGGCGAGUACGGCCCGCAGGUUGAAACUCAAAUGAAUUGACGGGG
rnacentral:rRNA from 1 species